AUUGAACGCUAGCGGCAGGCCUAACACAUGCAAGUCGAGCGGAGCGGCGGACGGGUGAGUAAUGCCUAGGAAUCUGCCUGGUAGUGGGGGAUAACGUCCGGCAACGGUCGCUACUACCGCAUCCUAUCCGAUGAGCCUAGGUCGGAUUAGCUAGUUGGUGGGGUAAAGGCCUACCAAGGCGACGAUCCGUAACUGGUCUGAGAGGAUGAGCAGUCACACGUGAACUUAGACACGGUCCAGACUCCUACGGGAGGCAGCAGUGGGGAAUAGUGGACAAUGGGCGGAAGCCUGAUCCAGCCAUGCCGCGUGGGUGAAGAAGGGCUUCGGAUUGUAAAGCACUUUAAGUUGGGAGGCGUUACCAACAGAAUAAGCACCGGCUAACUUCGUGCCAGCAGCCGCGGUAAUAC
rnacentral:rRNA from 1 species